rnacentral:rRNA from 1 species
CCUGGCUCAGAUUGAACGCUGGCGGCAUGCCUUACACAUGCAAGUCGAACGGCAGCAUGAUCUAGCUUGCUAGAUUGAUGGCGAGUGGCGAACGGGUGAGUAAUACAUCGGAACGUGCCCUGUAGUGGGGGAUAACUAGUCGAAAGAUUAGCUAAUACCGCAUACGACCUGAGGGUGAAAGUGGGGGACCGCAAGGCCUCAUGCUAUAGGAGCGGCCGAUGUCUGAUUAGCUAGUUGGUGGGGUAAAGGCCCACCAAGGCGACGAUCAGUAGCUGGUCUGAGAGGACGAUCAGCCACACUGGGACUGAGACACGGCCCAGACUCCUACGGGAGGCAGCAGUGGGGAAUUUUGGACAAUGGGCGAAAGCCUGAUCCAGCAAUGCCGCGUGUGUGAAGAAGGCCUUCGGGUUGUAAAGCACUUUUGUCCGGAAAGAAAUGGCUCUGGUUAAUACCUGGGGUCGAUGACGGUACCGGAAGAAUAAGGACCGGCUAACUACGUGCCAGCAGCCGCGGUAAUACGUAGGGUCCAAGCGUUAAUCGGAAUUACUGGGCGUAAAGCGUGCGCAGGCGGUUGUGCAAGACCGAUGUGAAAUCCCCGAGCUUAACUUGGGAAUUGCAUUGGUGACUGCACGGCUAGAGUGUGUCAGAGGGGGGUAGAAUUCCACGUGUAGCAGUGAAAUGCGUAGAGAUGUGGAGGAAUACCGAUGGCGAAGGCAGCCCCCUGGGAUAACACUGACGCUCAUGCACGAAAGCGUGGGGAGCAAACAGGAUUAGAUACCCUGGUAGUCCACGCCCUAAACGAUGUCAACUAGUUGUUGGGGAUUCAUUUCCUUAGUAACGUAGCUAACGCGUGAAGUUGACCGC